rnacentral:rRNA from 1 species
GAUGAACGCUGGCGGCGUGCCUAAUACAUGCAAGUCGAGCGAACAGACGAGGAGCUUGCUCCUCUGACGUUAGCGGCGGACGGGCGAGUAACACAUGGAUAACCUACCUAUAAGACUGGGAUAACUUCGUGAAACCGGGGCUAAUACCGGAUAAUAUAUUGAACCGCAUGGUUCAAUAGUGAAAGACGGUUUUGCUGUCACUUAUAUGUGGAUCCGCGCCGCAUUAGCUAGUUGGUAAGGUAACGGCUUACCAAGGCCACGAUGCGUAGCCGACCUGAGAGGGUGAUGGGCGACGCUCGCACUGGGACACGGACACGGCCCCGACGCGUACGAGAGGUAGCAGUGGUUAAGAAUGCGCAAUGGGCGGAGGGCAGAAGCAGCGACGCCGUGUGGGGGAUGACGGCAUUGUGGUUGUAAGCUCCUAGGGACCGCGAGGAAGCCACCUGGGUGGGAGGGUGGUGACGGUAGUGGAAGAAGAAGCACCGGCUAACUACGUG